CGCGGGGUGGAGCAGCCCGGUAGCUCGUCAGGCUCAUAACCUGAAGGUCGUAGGUUCAAAUCCUACCCCCGCUACCA
rnacentral:tRNA from 3 species